rnacentral:lncRNA from 1 species
CCUGGACAGAGCUGGAGGAAGCCUAAGAAUUUCUCAGAGGAAAAAACCUCACUCUCUCUUCGUUACUUACGGCUCUGCUGGAGAGAGACUGGAAUCAGGAAGAUCAGUUAAGGAGCCUGGAGUAAUUGUCAAGCUGGGGUAAGGCAGGUUCCUGGAUCAGUGACGUGGUCAUUUGAUGGAGAGGAAGAGGGGAAUUUUGAAAGUAGUUCUGAGGCGAAUCGACAGGACUUGGUGACUGAAUGGAUGUUGGUACUGAGGGAGCCCGCGGAGUGAAGAAAAUGCCCCAGUACAGGAUUGAGAGACUGGGAGAAUGACAGUCUUGACGAAAGUGAGGGGAAUGGAGACGAUUCUGGGGGACAGGUGAGAAGUUCAGUUUGGGACUCAGAAGCAGUCUUAGAGAAGUCUCAGAAGCGGUCUUAGAGAAGCAGCGUGGCUCAGUGGAAAGAGCACGGGCUUGGGAGUCAGAGGUCAUGAGUUCGAAUCCCGGCUCUGCCACUUGUCAGUGACUGUGGGCAAGUCACUUCACUUCUCGGUGCCUCAGUAACCUCAUCUGUAAAAUGGGGAUUAACUGUGAGCCUCACGUGGGACAACCUGAUUACCCUGUAUCUCCCCCAGCGCUUAGAACAGUGCUCGGCACAUAGUAAGCGCUUAACAAAUACCAACAUUAUUAUUAUUAUUUUGGACCUGUUGAGACAUCCACACAGAGAUAUCCUGGAGACAAGAAGAAAUGGAAGACUGCAAAGGAGAGAGGUAGAGCUGGCUGUUCACAUAAAGCACCCUGGUGAUUAUUAAAUCAAAGAAACUCAUCCCUGACAUCAACGUAGCUUGAAACACUCAGAAUGGAUCAAAGAUAGACCGUUGCAAAGUAUGAGGCUCACAAGAUCAUGAUGGUGACUCUUAAGACGUAUUUUGUUAAUUUAAAUAUAGUCAAUUUAGCAAUAAUUAUCCAUUUCAUGUCGAUUUUUAUAGCUGGCUUUAUUAAAGUUCUUUGUUCCUAGGACUGUAUGCAAUGUUUUCAGUUCUCUAUCAUUAAUGAGAGAUAAAUUACGAUGGCUGUAUUAUUGGGUGAGAUUCAUUGGUGUUAGGAAUUAGAAAAAUGUGAAUUAACGAAGAUUGAUUACGGUAUCGAGCACGAUUACCCUAAACGAUAAUCAAUCUUUAAUGAAAUGUCAUUUUCAUGAAAUUCUGAGACCUUAAUUAAAAAAAAAAACUUACACUUGUUCCUUAAUCCUCUAUGAAGAUUAUGUUGGUGUUACAAUUUUGAAAUAUAUUUCCAUUGUACAGCUAGAGGUGAUUUUAAAAGCAAAUACACUGAACAACCACAGCACUCGAAGAAAUUUAGCUCUGAUAGUUAAUCUAAAAAAUUGCAAUAGAAAAUCUGACAUUGU